rnacentral:rRNA from 1 species
CAUGCAGUCGAGCGCAGGAAACUGACGGAACUCUUCGGAGGGAAGGCAGCGGAAUGAGCGGCGGACGGGUGAGUAACACGUAAGGAACCUGCCUCAAGGAUUGGGAUAACUCCGAGAAAUCGGAGCUAAUACCGGAUAGUUCAUCGGACCGCAUGGUCCGUUGAUGAAAGGCGCUCCGGCGUCACCUUGAGAUGGCCUUGCGGUGCAUUAGCUAGUUGGUGGGGUAACGGCCCACCAAGGCGACGAUGCAUAGCCGACCUGAGAGGGUGAUCGGCCACACUGGGACUGAGACACGGCCCAGACUCCUACGGGAGGCAGCAGUAGGGAAUCUUCCACAAUGGACGAAAGUCUGAUGGAGCAACGCCGCGUGAGUGAUGAAGGUUUUCGGAUCGUAAAACUCUGUUGUAAGGGAAGAACACGUACGAGAGGGAAUGCUCGUACCUUGACGGUACCUUACGAGAAAGCCACGGCUAACUACGUGCCAGCAGCCGCGGUAAUACGUAGGUGGCAAGCGUUGUCCGGAAUUAUUGGGCGUAAAGCGCGCGCAGGCGGCCUUUUAAGUCUGAUGUGAAAGCCCCCGGCUCAACCGGGGAGGGCCAUUGGAAACUGGAAGGCUUGAGUACAGAAGAGAAGAGUGGAAUUCCACGUGUAGCGGUGAAAUGCGUAGAGAUGUGGAGGAACAC